rnacentral:rRNA from 1 species
AACGAACGCUGGCGGCAUGCCUAACACAUGCAAGUCGAACGAAGGCUUCGGCCUUAGUGGCGCACGGGUGCGUAACGCGUGGGAAUCUGCCCUUUGGUUCGGAAUAACAGCUGGAAACGGCUGCUAAUACCGGAUGAUGACGAAAGUCCAAAGAUUUAUCGCCAGAGGAUGAGCCCGCGUUGGAUUAGGUAGUUGGUGGGGUAAAGGCCUACCAAGCCGACGAUCCAUAGCUGGUCUGAGAGGAUGAUCAGCCACACUGGGACUGAGACACGGCCCAGACUCCUACGGGAGGCAGCAGUGGGGAAUAUUGGACAAUGGGCGCAAGCCUGAUCCGGCAAUGCCGCGUGAGUGAUGAAGGCCCUAGGGUUGUAAAGCUCUUUUACCCGGGAAGAUAAUGACUGUACCGGGAGAAUAAGCCCCGGCUAACUCCGUG